GCAGAUAUGAGGCAACAAAAUGAAAGGAAACGGCACCGAUGAAAGCGGUGGAAUGUUAUAUGGGUUUGUAAACUAACAGACGGACGUAAACUGCGAAAGGUGACAAAAUGAGUGAACAAAAUUUCCAAAAUAAGAGGAAGAAAAUACAAAAGGUAAAGAGAGACGAAAAGAUUAACAUAGAGAUUGCAAUAGUGCAGAUGAGUGAUUCAUCCAUGAGAGACUCUUCAAGUCUACACUUGAAGAUAUAAGAAGUGCAGAAAACGAUGCACAUUAAAAGGCACUGCAACAUCAAAGACACGGAUGCAACGCACUCUAUCACAGAAGAAGUAAUCGAAGGAUACAAAUUAUCUAUCAAGAUUGCAGAGAAGUAGAAGGAAUGAGAUGAAGAAAAUUGAUCAAAGGGAUACAGAGGGAUGGAAUAAGAUAUGGAAAAGCAAAUUGCAAGAAGGUUACCAAUGAGUUUGAUGAUUUCGAUUCAGAGAGAAGUAAGUGAUAGUGAGAGUGUUAAGAUAGGGGGGUAUUUAUAGGACUCCCAUCUUUAGCAUGCUGGUUAGAAAGGUGCAUCUUCCCCAUAAAAACAUAACAUUAGAGACCUUUUAGAUAAUUACAUUGGAAA